rnacentral:lncRNA from 1 species
AAAGAUUCGCAGAGAUGUACAAAAUCAGUAGAAUAUUACACGAACGAUGAACAUUUAGGCCUAUAAAGCACAAUAGACAUGAAAAUAAGAGAAUCCUAAGCAAGAAAGCAUGGGAGCAACAAAGGGUCGGAAACCUAGCAAGAAAUUAAGGCAUGGAACUCAGGUUAAGAAGGAAACCAAACAAACGUAACACAAACAAACACAUAACACUCAAGAAAGGCAGAAAACAUAUGAUUUGGAAAAGAGGUCAGAAAUCCUAAUUUUGCAAAAAGAGAAAAAAAAUCGGAAAACUUGAGAUAAUCAGAGAUAUUGAGUGAGAAAUAGAUUAGGAAACAAACUUAAAAUAAAAAUCGUUUUAAAAGAACAAAGAUUAAAGAGAUUUGAGCAGAAAAAUUAGGGUUUGUGAACGAAUUAGAAAAAGGAAUAACCUGGCCGUGAAACUCAUCAAUAACGGGGUUUAAGGCAUCAUCAGACUAAAAACCACCGGAGAAAGGCCGGCACAGACUUAGGCGAAGCUUCAGUGGCUAUCUUCCAUGGUGGAAGCUUCUGGACUUCGAGUCUUAUAGAGAAAUAAUGAGGUGAGGCUCCAUGGUAAAUGAUGGUCGAGAGGAGUGAGGAUGAAGGUGACCGGAACAACGAUGAAGACCAUCAGAGAUUAGAGAGAGAACCAGAAGGUUCUAGAGAAAACUUAGAGAUGAA